rnacentral:misc_RNA from 1 species
AACUUUUGACAAUGGAUCACUUGGUUCUCGCAUCGAUGAAGAACGCAGCGAAUUGCGAUAUGUAAUGUGAAUUACAGAAUUCAGUGAAUCAUCGAAUCUUUGAACGCACAUUGCACCCUCUGGUAUUCCGGAGGGUAUGCCUGUUUGAGUGUCAUUAAUCUAUCAACACAGACUGGUUUUACCACUUGUUCUGAUGCUUGGAUGUUGAAGGCUUGCCGGCAUUCAUUGCCAGCUCCUUUUAAAUGCAUUAGCAGAAACAUACAAAGCUGGCUUCAGUUUGAUAAUAAUAUUUUAUCUGUAUUGCUGUUGCUAGUGAUAGUUAAUUGUUUCAGCUUCCAAUUGUCCUUAUGGGGACUGUCUCAUUAGAGGCAUAAUAUUUGACAGUUGACCUCAAAUCAGGUAGGACUACCCGCUGAACUUAAGCAUAUCAAUAAGCGGAG